CUACGGGGCGCACCAGUGGGGAAUAUUGGACAAUGGGGGAAACCCUGGUCCAGCAAUGCCGCGUGUGAAGAAGGCCUGCGGGUUGUAAAGCACUUUCGGUUGGGAGGACUGCUUCUAGCACUAAUAUUGUUGGAAGUUGACGUUACCUUCAGAAGAAGCACCGGCUAACUCCGUGCCAGCAGCCGCGGUAAUACGGAGGGUGCAAGCGUUAAUCGGAAUUACUGGGCGUAAAGCGCGCGUAGGCGGCUAGAUCAGUCGGGUGUGAAAGCCCCGGGCUUAACCUGGGAACUGCAUCCGAUACUGUCGAGCUUGAGUACAGGAGAGGAGAGUGGAAUUCCACAUGUAGCGGUGAAAUGCGUAGAUAUGUGGAGGAACACCAAUGGCGAAGGCAGCUCUCUGGCCUGAUACUGACGCCGAGGUGCGAAAGCGUGGGGAGCAAACAGGAUUAGAUACCCUCGUAGUC
rnacentral:rRNA from 1 species